AAUUUGGGAAGAAAGUAGCACUCUGGUACCAUUUAAAUGACCAUGAACUCUUCAAAAAUGCAUGUAGAUAAUGUGCAAGUCCUCCAAACACACCGAGUCCAGACUCAGCAGGCACUUGCUUUAUGUUUCUCAUGAGGAAAAGCUGUGAAAGUUAAAACCAAAACCAAAAACAAACAAACAAAUAAACACACAUACCUGUAGCACAGCCAAUGUGUGAGACAGCAGAGCCAAGCCACAAGAGUGCAGCAAGGACAGCAAGCACUGAAUGGGAUCACGAAGAAAGUGCUAACUCAUAAAAUGGAAGGGACUAUGUGUGCAAGUGUGAAAAAUCCAAGUGGAAAUUCCUGUAGACCUGAUCUCCAGUUAUGAACUUGGACUUGUGUAGGUAAUGUGAGAUAUCCUUUUAUGAACAUGUACGCAUGGGAACAAGCACAUCAUCCUGCAUGAUGGCCUCACUUCACAGGAUACGUGGAGACAUCUACACGGCAACGUGCUGUGGGGUGACACAUGCAGAGGUUCCCAGCACCGAAGACUGGCCCUCUUAGGGAUGGCUCUCCACAGUGCCGUUUCUGAACAGAGCUACUCUCCUGACCUUCCAAAUCAACCUGCAAAAACCCUCCAGAAGAUGCAGUGCAGUUUAACCAGACUAACUGCAGCUUUUCCAGCACCUUUCCCAAACCUCAGGCAAAGCAAUGGGAAGAGAUUUCAAAUGCACGCUGUACAACUUAUCAGACCUAGAACAACUCCCCUACCACUGUGCUUACUGUUUUCCCUCACUUUGCUCAGUUCAUCUGAGCAGUAAGCUGGCAAAAAUCCAUUUAUAUUUAAGUAGAAGUCCCGUUUCUUUUAAAAGUACCCUAAUACUACAUGUCAAAAUAGAAGCUGUGUUUAAACAAAAAUAAUGGCAUUUCCAAGGCUAGUAAACAAAAGAAAUAUGCUGUAUUGAUAAGUAUGAUUUUAGUCAUGUAAUGACUUGAAGAAUGCUGAUGAGUUAUGUAUAGAAAGGAGAAAAUCAUCUUGUACUGCUGAGGUUGCUGCCAGAAACAUGCCAGAGUUCACUGCAUAACCUGUGAACAGCAGUGAAUGCCUGCUAUAAAAUAUUAAUUAAACUGACAUAGAUGUAGAUUAUAAAAUCUACAUAAAAUAGUUCACAAAAGGGAUUAAUAGAGAUGCUGAUUAGACAAUGAAAAAAACAAAACAAAACAAAACAAAAAAAAAAAAAAAAAAAACAGAUUCCUCCACCCAUUCUCAAUGUAGAAUUCAUCUGGUACUGUUAAGAAAAACAUGAUUAAAUAAAAAAUGGAGGAAAACAGGAUUAUUGAAGUUGUUUAUUAAUUGAAUUAUAAUUUCCACCCAUGUGUAAUUCAACCACAAAGUUAAUGAGAAGGAGUUUGUUGGUUUAGGGUUCUGACUGCUUUUGCAGUUUAGAUCAGCUGCUUGUACUUGUAGUUGAGAUCAAUUCUUCAUGAAACUGCACAUGAAACACGGAUCAAAUGUGUCUAAAGCCUCAGACACAUGAACACUUCUUUACAUAUGAAGUACUCAGACUUGAUCUCCACCUAAGAAAUCAGAUGCAUUUAGGCCUCCUAUAAAAAUAAAACCAAACAGUAACACAAUUUUCAUAAGACCUAGUUUAGGCUAUGUCUGAUCUGUGAAUUUUGAGGUCAUGGCACAACAGCAUCUAUGCUGUUAUCCCACCCACAGAGGUGAGACUGGAGCUCCAGUAUCAAUAAAUAGACUAAAAACAGCUCUAGUUUUAAACACUUCCGUGCCUUCUCCCUCAUCCCUCACUUUGUUUUAGCCACUGCUCAAAAGCACCUUGUCAGCCCUUUUGCUGCUUCCUCUUUGGCACACCACCAAGGUGGCAACUCCCCAUCUUCUCAUCCAGCAAGCCCUGGCCCUCUAGAGCUAAGUGUGCCAGAGACAAAACUGCAAAAAAGUGGUCUCCAUAGGAGUCUGCUAUAGCAGGGGUUACUCCUGCCUUUCAGAGCACUGGUGGUGCUUGUAUGGCAGAGGUUCAGACCUACUAGCUGCUGUUCUUUGGAUGCUAUUUCAUCAAAUAUAUAUGUAGGUUGCCUAAGGUUUGUCCUCCAGUUGUGUUUCAGUUUGCUGGGUCAUCUUAGUGUGACUCAGCUAUUUGGCCAAGCAAGUUUAAAUAACAGAGAAUUACAAGAUUAACCUAUCAGAGGGAAAUAGUACUGUUUGUCAUGAUUAAAAUCUCCCUAGGAAGCUCAGUAUAUCUCUUAUUUACAUUUGUUUGUACGUGAAGAAAGACCGUACUCACGAUGAGCAAGCAUAAACAGAGCACACUCAGAGUACAACUUAAAUCAUGCUUAUUACAGCUCAUCGGCUUAUCAGGCCGAUGACCUGAUUUUGCUGUGUAAUGAAAAACUGAUCUUUCAAAUAAUAAACAUUCAGUCAUGCAAAAUAAAAUACAAGGUGUAAAGAUAGUGUAUCACAACCAGAGCUCCCUCUUAUAAACUGGAGAGUCCUAAGGAGGUGAAAUUCCACAUUUUAUCAAAAUCCAUCAGGCUACAGUGCCUUGCUGCGUACAGAGACAAUAUGCAGCAGCUUUCUGCUGACCAGUAAGCCAGGUCUCCUCUGGGAGUAGUACACCAUUACUGCAGUGUUAGGCAGGGACCAUUCAGAGCCUUACUAUUGCAGUUGGAGCCAAACCUCCACCAAGUUUUCCCGAUGACAAUGAAGGAGCCGGGCCCCAUCUUGUGGACAUUUCCUGGAGUGAGUAGGGCUGUGACAGCUGCUAACCACAGCGCUUGUAAUGCAGUGCUGAAAAGUUAGCUCUGAUAAGGAUCAGCAUCAGAUCUUGCCUAAAAUAGAGAUUUACGUCUGGGCUGGGCAGCUAGGAUUUACAUGAAGAAAGCUCCUCCUUUCUCUCGAGGCAAACCAUCCUCUCUUUUCUGCAGGUGUGGGGAACCCUGCCCAAAUUAAGGGUUUCAAAGACCUGGAGAAGAGUUUACACACUGCCUGCAAGCUCCGUACUCAUGCACUGGGGAAAGGUAGAUGCAGGCAGAUGAGAAUGAACAGGAAUGAAAUGAGGGCACCCAUCACCACCAAGGUGGACCAACCAAGCCUGGCAACAAUUUAGCCCAGGCACCAGAAGCCACAGCAUCCAUAGCUGUGGGCUGUGAAUGGCAGGAGAGCCUGGCUCCCCAGCAGGGCUUGAGAAGCCCUGGGCUGGCCACAACGGCUCAGACAGAGCGCGUUUGGGGAAAAGUACUGGGAGUUUUCCACAUCUCUUCUGUAAAAGCUGCUCGCAUAACCUGCAGCUCUGUGUCACACAUGCUAUGCCACAGCUGCAAAACCCAGCUCAUCAGCUCCAGCUGAGGGGGCUCCCACAAAAUGUAUAUUUUGCUUUCCCAACUACCUCAGGUUUUUUAUUUUCUUGAUAAGCAAAAAGUCUUAUCAUGCUCACACACACACUCAUUUACUACCAAAACCAUGUUAACGUGUGGCACUGUCUUCACCAGCCUGCAAUAUUUGGAGGAUUUUUCUGAGGCUACCUAAGAACAUGGUGACAGCAGCACCAAAGCCCAAAGCUCUCCCCUGGGAAGCGUGAAUGCUGCAGGACCAGGGCCAAGAUGUUCAGCUGAACAUGACAAAGCUGGUGACUUGGAUCAUGUUCUUUCAUCCAGUCAGCAAAGUCAUGCCAGUGAUCAGUAGUUUUCCAGGGGUCUUUCCCCUUGAAAAAGUCUGGGCAGAUGGUUCUGUGUGAGACAUGGAAACAAGUCAACUUUCACAUCCAGCAGCUCCUGUCUGUUAGAGUGUGCUGCAGAGCUGUAGGAACUGGACGGAUGUGACACUACUGCCAGAAUCAAGCUGUUUCACAGAUAGCCAUGAGAUGGGUGAUCUUACAUGGUGAGUAGUUCCCUCUGCUGAUAACUGAGAGCUAAUUACACUUGUUAAUUGUUCUCCCACCUUUUUCAACAUCUGAAUGCUGGGUUGGUAUUAGGAAGCAUGAAUUAUCCUGAUCUUCAGGACUAAAACCUCUAUUGCUUUGGCAUUACGUGCAAGUAGAUGUUGUAACAUGUGGGGGAGUGUCUCAUGUCCCCCAUAACAAGCCUGAAAAUGCUUGAAUGAUGUCUGUUUUUGCAAAAGUACUUCCUAUCUUUUUCUUUUUUUUUUUUUAAACCUAAGAUGAAUGAGGUUGCUGAAGUGCAAGAGCCUGCUUGAAGAACUGACAGGCAUCCCCAAAGUCAGCUAACACCAUUGGCUUCUGAGAUGGCAGCCACGGUCUUAACCCAUUAGCACCUUUAGUUCAGAAGGGCACAACCUAUGGUGUCCCCUUCAAGGAAAUAGUGCUUAGGAGGCAUUAAGCUUUGCAAUAGUUGUGAAAGAGCCUACUGUCUAUCUUUUGGUAGCUUCCCAGAAAUCAUUUCUUUGGCCUAUCUUGAUUGAUUCCCAGCCAGCUGGCUCUUCUCCAGGCACCCGGCUGUGAAGACCAUAGUAAAUAGCCAGCCACACCUGAACUGCUUAGAAGUCUUUGAUGGGAUCCUGUUUAGUCAGAAGCUUUAUUUGUUCCCUCCCGCUUUGAUCUGUGCAACACAGUGUAGUGAAGCAACGACCCAGGAUAUUUCCUACCUGUCCUGUCUCACCUCAUUCCCUCUUGCCACCGAUUUCAUCCAUUGCACUUUUCCUCUUCCUGCUUUCCCCAUGGCCCGGUUCCAGGCAAGCAGAACCUCACCUCUACAGCCUGCUUCUCGUCACUGAGCUCUAGCACGGAUGAGACACAGGCACUAGCACAAAGCAAGGAGCAGGGGAAACUACUACUACCAGGGAACAAGCAGAGAUGUCCAUGAGUUUCAGGGCAUCCUUUUGCUGGUUUAGAGAAAGCCUCCUUAUAGCUUCUUUGUCUCACUUCCUUGGUUUACUGAGUUCCUCAGUGCCACCCAGCUUUUGUGCAAGUAAUGAAAAAAACUGAGGAGAAUCAUUCAGUGUUAUCACAAGGCAAAGGUGGGCUCCCUUGGAUGGCAGGACAGACCUAAACUAAUUAAUUUGUAGGGAGCAGCAAAUAACAUGAUUAUAACCUGUCAAGUCUUAGUUUUCAUUAAAUAACAAACAAACAAACAAACAAAAAACAUACUUGAGAGGUGAGGCUAAUAUUCUUUCAAAAACAAUCGGGUAAAACUGAGGAAGAUAGUCCUAAAGAUAAUCCCCACUUCUCAUAAAGUGGGUAGGAGCACGUGAUCUCAUACUGCUUUGCUUUUUGCCAGGACCUUGCACUAAGGCUGCCAAGAUGUGACAUGUUUGCCUUUUUCCUGGGUCCAGGGAUAACAUUUUAAACUCCAGCGGUAAUUAAUUUCAAUGCUAAAUGCUCCAGUGGACCAAACAAGGGAAAGAAUGGGAAUUCAUUACCAUAAGGGCAAAAGAAAUUAUGGUCCUGUAGCAUGAUCUUGCUACUGCUGGCUAUAAAAUAGUGGCCAGUAAUUCCUACAGAAAGCCCCCAGACUGUGGCUGAAGUAGGAUGCCUCCCUCAAUGUCAGGCAGUUUAGAGUUAAAGCUUCAAUUGAACGUACUACCUCCCUUACCUAUUUGUGCCAAUGUAUGAUGACAUUGAGAGGGAAAAGCGUUUGGGUUGUCCUCAGACCUAUUGCUAUGCCGCAUCUGCAGACACUCAAAAUCUAGUUUUUCCCAAAGUUGAUAUCCUCUAUCUUUACCUUAUCUGCUCCUUAAUACUUGUCUUUGUGCAGUUUUGUUUUUUACCUUUUUUUUUUUUUUUUUAAUGAAGUCAAAAUAAAAGUCUUUCUUUAAAGGAGUGGUUUUUGCUGAAUGUUUUGCAUAUUUUUCAAAGAGCUGUUUCUGACUGCUUAGCAAUUUCAGAUUUCUCCCACUCAACACAGUUACAAGCAGUUAGCCUCCCUCUGCUGCCAGCUCAGUCUUCGUGGACCAGUUUGCCAUGACAUACCUGGAGUACAGGAUCCUGCGUUAUCCCAGCUCGGUUCCUCUGUUCGGUGAGAUACCAGCUAGGCUUCCCUAAACACGGUAAGAAGAAAACCCGUUCUGCUGGCAGUUUUGCUCCAGCUGCUGCUUCUGCUGCCCAUCCAGUUUCCAGGUGCUUUUCAACUCUUCUGCAGCCCUGGGGAUUGGGAGACGAGGAGGAGACGCUCAGCACACAAAUCAUCCUGACCGGAAGGGGUGGAGACAGAUCAUGCAGAGAGGCAGGGUUUGGUGGAUUCAGUAGGCUCCAAAUCAAUUGCCUUUUACUCCACCUUUAUUUAUUUUUAUUAUUUAAGGAGUUUAGAAAGCAAGGCGCACACCGAUGCUAAACUGCACUUAUUUUUUCAUCAUCUCUAAAGACGUGUAAUUCCUAACACAAUAGCAUGGAGAGGUUGAAAGAAGGACUAGUGAAUCUUCUUACUAACAGACUUCAGUUUUCCGGUAAGAUUUCCCUUCCAGACCUGUACACUACAAAGCAACUGGUCUGUGCAAAAAUGGUAUGAAGCAAUGUACUGGUGCAGCCAUUUAAGACUGCAGAACCUUUGGACCUCAGCAUUUUUAAUUGACCCAUCUAGCACCUAGUGGUGCAUCCGCUAAGGCGCUGUUAAGUUCAAAGAUGCAUUUUCUUAUAGCAUAUUCAUGCACUUUUGUUGUCCACAAUAAAUGCCUUUAAUGGAAUUUGUGCCAAAUGAAGCCGAGUAUGUCCUGGCAAACUUACAGCAUAAAAACUAAUGGAAGUCUCCCCUGCACACAGACGAAACAUAUUACGACCACACCCACAAGUAUUCUCAACAAGUCUAAAAGUGUUCCAGGUUAUUUUUGAUCGGACUUGCUUUCAACAAGUCAAAAACAUUUGAGUCUGAACCGGUUGUUAUUGAUGGUGACUCGCUGAAAUUUUCCGUUCCGAUUUCCAUAAUGGCUAUGUAUGCAAGGAACAUUAGUUCAGCCCUCGGGCUGAUGUCUACUGUAGGUUUAAUUUUCUCUGUGUGUGCACGUGAUUUAUGUGUGCGAGCGUGUUGGGGUGGGGGAGAGAAAUGAAAGAGACCAAAGAACUAAAUGAAAAUGACCAUAUAAAGGUCAAUAAACAAAUUUUGAUCCCAAGUGUGUGAUAAACUGUGGGACAAACAAGUCCCACGAUUGCUCUGUAGAUCCUGGGCCGUACUCUGUGUGGUCGUGACCACAGGGUAAUCUGAGAACUGGUGAUGGUUGGGUUCAGUUCACCCAAACUUCAGACAUCUGCAAUUAGGAUGGCCAUGUCAGCAAGGUGUCUACACCCCCACAGCUGCCGUUGCGACCUAGGGUAUGAUUCACACCCUAUGGAUGUCUUUAGAACGAGGUGGAUGGCCCCCAAGAUGUCGCCAGACGUGCUGAUCUGAUUGUCACCAAGUUUAAUGGCCUAGCGCAGGUGUAGGUUGCUGCGCUGUGAACAUCGCCAGUCAGGCAAGGCGAGUCCCACCUCUGUGUGCUGCGGGAGACACAUGCAACUCAAAAUUAGGGUUUGUCACGACCAGAGAGAGGGUGUUUUUCUCUGUCCUGUCAUACCUGUCAUUAGCUUUGCACAUCAAGAUUGUUUAAGAAACUAUUAAAAAGAUUGCUUGUGUUGCAAGGGAGGGAGUGGGGAGACUUCACGGAAAAGAUCUGGUUUGUAUGUUGAUAUUAAUGACAUCUGGCCUGAGUUUGUCUAACCCCAGCUGGGUAGGCAUCCUGUAGUCUGAUCCACAAGACUUAAGCACUGUCUUCCUACUUUGCUCCCCCAGGAUUUGGGUCCAACUGAGCUGCAGCCCCCUGUGCAAGGAACAGACCAGCAGUACCAGGCGUCUGAUCCAACAAGCAUUGCAGCAAUUGUAAAUCCUGUCUUUCUGUCCAGCAUCUCUUUGAGGAUGGCUAGGCUGAAAGGAGAGCAAAGGGCUAGCUCUGCUGUAAUGCAUGUCCUUGCCUGCAUGCUGUGAUUGUUUGACCUGCAAACCCUACGUCAUUCAGAUCUCCCAGACUUGCAGAAACCACCUCUUUCCUCACAGGAUGGAAUCAUCUCUGUAAUGGGCUCGGGGUUGUGGAGUUCACUGUACACAUGCAUUUCCUAUAGUCUCAAGCAACUUAUAAAUUUAUGUUUUAAUUGUUCUGUAAAUAACCCUAUUUUUAGGGAUUUCCAGAAAAAAAAAAAAAAAAAAAAAAAAAAAAGGAUAUUUGAGGGUUGGAGUGGUCAAAUUUCUCCUUCACCUGAAGCACACAAUGCGUAUCUUCUUUUACUGCUUGUUUUGUUGGUCUGGUUUGGUUUGGUUUGGUUUGGUUUGGUUUGGUUUUACCCUGAAGGUUUGCACUAAUACUCCUAGUUUUACAGAACGGGGUGUGGAAUAAAACCCCAAAGCAAAACCUCACAGCUGUGAGCUGCAUUUUUACCUGUAUGUUAACAUAAGAGACAAGAUCCUAGGACAUGCAAGCCUGCUGUCCCGAGGCAAAAUAGACAGAUACGCUCUCACAGAUAACUAGUGAUACAUAAAAACCCAGCAAGGCAAGUACUCUGCUGGCAUCUAGUGCGAAAGUGAAGGAGUCCAAUGGAGAGGCCAAUGUACAGGUUUAAACAUGCCUCAUUUACCUUCACCUGGUGCAGUGUUUGGAGUGCUGCUGGUAGCAACAGAGUUGUCAGAAAGCUGAAAUCAUCACAAACGCUGUAUUUACGAUGUGAAAGCCCUGUUCAAAGCGCCUGCGACGAGUGGUGUUCUGCUCACAGCCUCAGCCUGCAGAAGCUGCAGGCAAGGGAAGGAGGACGGCGGGGCUUGUGGUAGGGUUGCUGCUGCUGAGGGCACCUCGUGGGAGCUGCCAAACGGAGGAGCUGGUGGAGAGGCUUGGAGGAAGGGAGAGCUGAGAGGGAUGGAGGGGUAGUGCUCAGAAGGGAUCCAUGCUGCAGAUGCAUAAAUGGUGAAUAUUUACCGUUUGAGGAAAGAGCUUGUGGGAUCUCGGAGGGUCUAUUUUGUGAGCUUUACAGAAAAAAUGCGGAGUGUUAAGUUUAAUUUUGCAAUAAAAUGAAAACUAUUUUAA